rnacentral:rRNA from 1 species
UGGGGAAUCUUGCACAAUGGGGGAAACCCUGAUGCAGCGACGCCGCGUGAGCGAUGAAGCCCUUCGGGGUGUAAAGCUCUUUCGGCAGGGAAGAUGAUGACGGUACCUGCAGAAGCAGCUGCGGCUAACUACGUGCCAGCAGCCGCGGUAAUACGUAGGCAGCAAGCGUUGUUCGGAGUUACUGGGCGUAAAGGGUGUGUAGGCGGUCGAUCAAGUUUGGUGUGAAAUCUCCCGGCUCAACUGGGAGGGUGCGCCGAAUACUGAUGGACUCGAGUGCGGGAGAGGAAAGUGGAAUUCCUGGUGUAGCGGUGAAAUGCGUAGAUAUCAGGAGGAACACCGGUGGUGUAAACGGCUUUCUGGACCGUAACUGACGCUGAGACACGAAAGCGUGGGUAGCAAACA